rnacentral:misc_RNA from 1 species
GAUGAAGAACGUAGCGAAAUGCGAUAAGUAAUGUGAAUUGCAGAAUUCAGUGAAUCAUCGAAUCUUUGAACGCACCUUGCGCCCUUUGGCUAUUCCGAAGGGCAUGCCUGUUUGAGUAUCAUGAACAUCUCAACUCCUCACGGUUCGCCCGUGACGAGCUUGGACUUUGGGGGUCUUGCCGGCCUGCGGGUCGGCUCCUCUCAAAUGAAUCAGCUUGCCGGUGUUUGGUGGCGUCACAGGUGUGAUAAAUAUCUACGCUUGUGGUUUUCCGCCAGGUAACCUCCAGCGAUGGGGGUUCACUGGAGCUCACGAAUGUCUCUCCUCGGUGAGGACAGCUCUUUGAACGUUUGAUCGCAAAUCAGGUAGGGCUACCCGCUGAACUUAAGCAUAUCAAUAAGCGGAGGA